rnacentral:tRNA from 1 species
GCCAUAUCAGUAUUGGACUACGUCCGCCUUCCAAGCGGAAAUUUUAAUCAACUUUAAAUACGGCA